GAGUUUGAUCCUGGCUCAGGACGAACGCUGGCGGCGUGCUUAACACAUGCAAGUCGAACGAAGCUUGAUGAUUGAUUUCUUCGGAAAGAAAUUUGAUAUGACUGAGUGGCGGACGGGUGAGUAACGCGUGAGCAACCUGCCCUUCAGAGGGGGAUAGCGUCUGGAAACGGACGGUAAUACCGCAUAACGUACAAAGGCCGCAUGACCAUUGUACCAAAACUGAGGUGCUGAAGGAUGGGCUCGCGUUGGAUUAGAUAGUUGGUGGGGUAACGGCCUACCAAGUCGACGAUCCAUAGCCGGACUGAGAGGUUGAACGGCCACAUUGGGACUGAGACACGGCCCAGACUCCUACGGGAGGCAGCAGUGGGGAAUAUUGCACAAUGGGGGAAACCCUGAUGCAGCAACGCCGCGUGAAGGAAGACGGUUUUCGGAUUGUAAACUUCUGUUCUUAGUGAAGAUAGUGACGGUAGCUAAGGAGCAAGCCACGGCUAACUACGUGCCAGCAGCCGCGGUAAUAC
rnacentral:rRNA from 1 species